rnacentral:rRNA from 1 species
UACGUAGGUGGCGAGCGUUAUCCGGAAUUAUUGGGCGUAAAGAGCGCGCAGGUGGUUGAUUAAGUCUGAUGUGAAAGCCCACGGCUUAACCGUGGAGGGUCAUUGGAAACUGGUCGACUUGAGUGCAGAAGAGGGAAGUGGAAUUCCAUGUGUAGCGGUGAAAUGCGUAGAGAUAUGGAGGAACACCAGUGGCGAAGGCGGCUUCCUGGUCUGUAACUGACACUGAGGCGCGAAAAGCGUGGGGGAGCAAACAGG